rnacentral:rRNA from 1 species
UUUGAUGGCGACCGGCGCACGGGUGAGUAACACGUAUCCAACCUGCCGAUGACUCGGGGAUAGCCUUUCGAAAGAAAGAUUAAUACCCGAUGGCAUAGUUCUUCCGCAUGGUAGAACUAUUAAAGAAUUUCGGUCAUCGAUGGGGAUGCGUUCCAUUAGAUUGUUGGCGGGGUAACGGCCCACCAAGCCUUCGAUGGAUAGGGGUUCUGAGAGGAAGGUCCCCCACAUUGGAACUGAGACACGGUCCAAACUCCUACGGGAGGCAGCAUG